rnacentral:tRNA from 1 species
AGGAUAGUAGUUUAAAGAACUUUUAAUUUGCAUUUAAAAAGUAUUGUAAUACACAAUUUAUCUUA